UUGUAAGUAGUAAGCAAUGCAAAAAUGUAACUUAUAGAAUAGUUGAAUUUAUACAAAAUGUAUUCAACGCUUCAGAAUUUGUUGAACCAAAUACGUUGUUGUGGUGGUUGGACUGAGCGCCAGUAAGUGGAUCUGGCAGUUGGUUUUACUUUAAACAGAAAGCUUUAGAUUGUAAAAGUGUGAGAUGAUUUUAAAUUCAAUCGGUUGUCAUUAACAUGCACGAAGACAUUAAUUAAACAGUGCUUUGAAACAAA